CCUGGCGGCCGUAGCGCGGUGGUCCCACCUGACCCCAUGCCGAACUCAGAAGUGAAACGCCGUAGUGCCGAUGGUAGUGUGGGGUCUCCCCAUGCGAGAGUAGGGAACUGCCAGGC
rnacentral:rRNA from 1 species